rnacentral:rRNA from 1 species
CUGUAAGCCUGUGAAGGUGGCCUGUGAGGGUUGCUGGAGGUAUCAGAAGUGCGAAUGCUGACAUAAGUAACGAUAAAGCGGGUGAAAAGCCCGCUCGCCGGAAGACCAAGGGUUCCUGUCCAACGUUAAUCGGGGCAGGGUGAGUCGACCCCUAAGGCGAGGCCGAAAGGCGUAGUCGAUGGGAAACGGGUUAAUAUUCCCGUACUUGGUGUUACUGCGAAGGGGGGACGGAGAAGGCUAUGUUGGCCGGGCGACGGUUGUCCCGGUUUAAGCGUGUAGGUGUGUGUUCCAGGUAAAUCCGGUUCACUUUAACACUGAGGCGUGAUGACGAGGCACUACGGUGCUGAAGCAACAAAUGCCCUGCUUCCAGGAAAAGCCUCUAAGCAUCAGGUAACAUCAAAUCGUACCCCAAACCGACACAGGUGGUCAGGUAGAGAAUACCAAGGCGCUUGAGAGAACUCGGGUGAAGGAACUAGGCAAAAUGGUGCCGUAACUUCGGGAGAAGGCACGCUGACAUGUAGGUGAAGUGAUUUACUCAUGGAGCUGAAGUCAGUCGAAGAUACCAGCUGGCUGCAACUGUUUAUUAAAAACACAGCACUGUGCA